CCUACGGGUGGCAGCAGUGAGGAAUAUUGGUCAAUGGCCGAGAGGCUGAACCAGCCAAGUCGCGUGAGGGAAGACGGCCCUACGGGUUGUAAACCUCUUUUGUCGGGGAGCAAAGCGAGUCACGUGUGACUCAUUGAGAGUACCCGAAGAAAAAGCAUCGGCUAACUCCGUGCCAGCAGCCGCGGUAAUACGGAGGAUGCGAGCGUUAUCCGGAUUUAUUGGGUUUAAAGGGUGCGUAGGUGGAUUGUUAAGUCAGUUGUGAAAGUUUGCGGCUCAACCGUAAAAUUGCAGUUGAAACUGGCAGUCUUGAGUACAGUAGAGGUGGGCGGAAUUCGUGGUGUAGCGGUGAAAUGCUUAGAUAUCAGGAGGAACACCGGCGGCGAAGGCGGCCUGCUGGACUGAAACUGACGUUGAGGCUCGAAAGCGUGGGGAGCAAACAGGAUUAGAUACCCCAGUAGUC
rnacentral:rRNA from 1 species